GGGCAUUGAAAGCAUUGGGUUGGCAGCCUAAAUUCUGACCGAAUGAAAUAAGUCUGGAGUGAAUUAAAGCUAUAGUCUGAGUCCCAGUCAUGCACAGAAAAAGUUGGAAGAAGCAGGUAGUGGUAUUCUCUGUAUGAAUGUGGUCUGCCUGUGGUGAGAUAUGAACAAUAAUGGCCCUGACCUCCAGGAUUCCACACUGUGUCUUGAGAUCCACUUUCUUACAGCCAUGAGGAUGAGAUUGAAUUCUGAAAAGAUGUAACAUUUAAAGGGGUUAAUUAU